ACAGGAAUGGUUUAUGACACUCAGAGACCUGCUGCACCCAUGACCAAAACAUUUCCAGGUAUUUCCUCUAAACGUUCAUCAAGAUCAUGCGGAUGGUUGCAGAAAUCUGAAGCACUGCUGGAAAAGGGAGAGGACCAGAUGCUGGGAUCCACGCUCWCCCUGAGCAUGUCUCAGAAGCGAUCUGAAAAUGUGUUAUGAGGCGUUAGCUACUGCUAAUUGAAAAAGCUUUCAGCUUUUCUGGUGAGUCCUUUUUCUGGUGAGUCCUUUAGCAAAG
rnacentral:lncRNA from 1 species